rnacentral:rRNA from 1 species
UACUCCUACGGGAGGCAGCAGUGGGGAAUAUUGGACAAUGGGCGCAAGCCUGAUCCAGCCAUACCGCGUGGGUGAAGAAGGCCUUCGGGUUGUAAAGCCCUUUUGUUGGGAAAGAAAUCCAGCUGGCUAAUACCCGGUUGGGAUGACGGUACCCAAAGAAUAAGCACCGGCUAACUUCGUGCCAGCAGCCGCGGUAAUACGAAGGAUGCAAGCGUUACUCGGAAUUACUGGGCGUAAAGCGUGCGUAGGUGGUCGUUUAAGUCCGUUGUGAAAGCCCUGGGCUCAACCUGGGAACUGCAGUGGAUACUGGGCGACUAGAGUGUGGUAGAGGGUAGCGGAAUUCCUGGUGUAGCAGUGAAAUGCGUAGAGAUCAGGAGGAACAUCCAUGGCGAAGGCAGCUACCUGGACCAACACUGACACUGAGGCACGAAAGCGUGGGGAGCAAACAGGAUUAGAUACCCUGGUAGUCCACGCCCUAAACGAUGCGAACUGGAUGUUGGGUGCAAUUUGGCACGCAGUAUCGAAGCUAACGCGUUAAGUUCGCCGCCUGGGGAGUACGGUCGCAAGACUGAAACUCAAAGGAAUUGACGGA